rnacentral:tRNA from 1 species
UGAGAAAUUAGUUAAAAUAAUAAUAUUGAGUUGUCAAAUCAAAGUUAAACAAUUAUUUCUUUAUCCCUC